GGUUAUCUAAUUGGUUAAAGCCCUUAAGAGCAAAAAAUGGUUUCCCUAAGAAGAAAUUCUGCCUCAAAGUUGUAGCAUUAAUUCUGCCUAAUAGCCUGCCCUACAGAUUUCAAACUUAAAACUACAGCAGCUACCUGAUUUUCCAGACUGCUGGCGCACCAUACAAACUUCCAGCUUGCCAACCCCCUUACUCAUAAGAGCCAAUUUCUUAAAAUACUGUCAUCUAUCCAUCUAUCUGUCAUCUAUGUCCUAUUGGUUCUGUUUUUCCCGGAGAACCCUAAUACAGGUAGACAUUUAUUUUCCCCCAUUUUAAAAACAGAGAUGCUGGGGUUUGAGAAUAAUUUGCUGAUUAAUAGGUGGUAAGCAGAACCUGAACUUCAACACAGAAGCUGACUGAAGAGCCCUUGAAAACAACCAUCAUACUUGUGAUUAAGGAAGAUGUUGCUGUCUGGAGGUGUCACUGGAGUCCUGUGCCCAAUUUCUACUAAUUUUUAAAGGGUCAUUCAAGUACAGUGCAUCUGCCUGGAGAAUCAGAUAGCCCAAAAGUUUAAAUGAAUCUGAGCUGAUGAACAGCGCAUAAAUCCGUUCUUCUCAAGAACACAAGGGCCACAGUGUGCCCCUCCAGUCUCUCCACCUUACAACUCUUCACAUCUACCUUUUUGCUGCCCAGUUAUCCUAGCCAAGGUCUGUCUAGCACACUCAGGGUCCUACUAGCAGAACACAGUCUCCUUAAAGAGACUGUUCUUUGGGAGAGAUCACAGGGAAACGGAACAGAGAGUAUUCAUUCAAAACCCCCUUCAUCUCAUGUCUACCUGCUGUGGGCAAAUAGCUGGAACUGCUCUAGUGACUGCCUGUCGCUGAAACCAGAUGAUGUUCUCAAGCUUCCAGACUGGCAUCACAAUCCUGAAGCCAGAUACAUUACACAUGCACUCGUCACCAGAGCCCAGCAUUUCUGGGGGUCAUUUUCCUGCAGAACUAAAAUCACACAUUCUUCAAAUUAUAGGUGAAUCCUAAUUCCAUGACUCAUUAGGGUUGAUUAGUUUUUAAAGCAAUACUUUUAAAGAAACUUCUAAAAAAAUAAACUUCUAAUAAGUCAGAGAAAGACAAUUAUAUAACAGUUAUAUGUAGAAUCUAAAAAAAGAUACAAAUGAACGUAUUGACUAACAAAAGCAGACUCAGACAACAAACUUAAAUGGUUACCAAAGGGGAAUGGUGGGAUGGGGCAGGAUAAAUGCGUUUGGGACUAGCAGAUGCAAACUACUAUAUAUAAGAUAGAUAAACAACAAGGUCCUACUGUAUAGCACAGGGAACUGUACUCAGUAUUCUGUAAUAACCUAUAUGGGAAAAGAAUCUGAAACAGAAUAAAUAUAUGUAUAAGUGAAUCACUUUGCUGUACAGCAGAAACUAACGUAACACUGUAAAUCAACUAUACUCCAAUAUAAAAACAUUGUAAAGCAACUACAAUAAAAAUUAAUAAAACAAUAAGUAAAAUUAAAUAAGCUGACUCUAAUCCAAUAAGUGAAAUGGAAUUAUCAAUAAAAAUUUUUAAGUUAAAAAAAAAAAACCCAGAAAUAGAUUCAUAGACAUAGAAAACAAAUUCAUGAUUACCAAAGGGGAA
ensembl:lncRNA